rnacentral:pre_miRNA from 1 species
UGGAAGACUAGUGAUUUUGUUGUUUUCUUGUCUGUUGAUUUGACAACAAGUCACAGUCUGCCAUA